UGAUGAUGGUGAGGACAACUAAUGAUUAAAGAUUUAAACCUGUCCCAAGCUUGGUAUAAAUUCUCUCCAGAAUUUUUGUUUGAAGCUCAAGAUUUCACUUCUCAAUUU